rnacentral:rRNA from 1 species
UGCAGUCGNACGGCAGCACGGGUGANCAACCCUGGUGGCGAGUGGCGAACGGGUGAGUAAUACAUCGGAACGUGUCCUGUAGUGGGGGAUAGCCCGGCGAAAGCCGGAUUAAUACCGCAUACGACCUAAGGGAGAAAGCGGGGGAUCUUCGGACCUCGCGCUAUAGGGGCGGCCGAUGGCAGAUUAUCUAGUUGGUGGGGUAAAGGCCUACCAAGGCGACGAUCUGUAGCUGGUCUGAGAGGACGACCAGCCACACUGGGACUGAGACACGGCCCAGACUCCUACGGGAGGCAGCAGUGGGGAAUUUUGGACAAUGGGGGAAACCCUGAUCCAGCAAUGCCGCGUGUGUGAAGAAGGCCUUCGGGUUGUAAAGCACUUUUGUCCGGAAAGAAAACCUCUUGGCUAAUAUCUGAGGGGGAUGACGGUACCGGAAGAAUAAGCACCGGCUAACUACGUGCCAGCAGCCGCGGUAAUACGUAGGGUGCGAGCGUUAAUCGGAAUUACUGGGCGUAAAGCGUGCGCAGGCGGUUUGUUAAGACAGAUGUGAAAUCCCCGGGCUUAACCUGGGAACUGCAUUUGUGACUGGCAAGCUAGAGUAUGGCAGAGGGGGGUAGAAUUCCACGUGUANCAGUGAAAUGCGUACAGAUGUGGAGGAAUACCGAUGGCGAAGGCAGCCCCCUGGGCCAAUACUGACGCUCAUGCACGAAAGCGUGNGGAGCAAACAGGAUUANAUACCCUGGUAGUCCACGCCCUAAACGAUGUCAACUAGUUGUUGGGGAUUCAUUUCCUUANUAACGUAGCUAACGCGUGAAGUUGACCGCCUGGNGAGUACGGUCGCAAGAUUAAAACUCANAGGAAUUGACGGGGACCCGCACAAGCGGUGGAUGAUGUGGAUUAAUUCNAUGCNACGCGAAAACCUUACCUACCCUUGACAUGGUC